rnacentral:rRNA from 1 species
AUUGAACGCUGGCGGCAGGCCUAACACAUGCAAGUCGAGCGGAGCGGCGGACGGGUGAGUAAUGCCUAGGAAUCUGCCUGUUAGUGGGGUAUCACGUCCGGAAACGUGAGCUAAUACCGCAUACUAUCAGAUGAGCCUCGGUCGUAUUAGCUAGUUGGUGGGGUAAAGGGUCACCUAGGCGACGAUCUCUAGCUGGUCUGAGAGGCUGAUCAGCCACACUGUGACUGAGACACGGCCCAGACUCAUACGGGAGGCAGCAGUGGGGAAUAUUGCGCAAUGGGCGAAAGCCUGAUGCAGCAAUGCCGCGUGUAUGAAGAAGGCCUUAGGGUUGUAAAGUACUUUCAGCGGGGAGGCGGUACCCAAAGAAGAAGCAACGGCUAACUCCGUGCCAGCAGCCGCGGUAAUAC